CAAACCUACUUUAAAAAAAAGUGGCCUCUUUUUCCUUCCUUAUUUUUUUUCUAAACUUGAAUAGAAAAACAAUUGUUCUCACAUCCAUCCAUCUUUCCAUUUUACUUUUUUAUUCUUUCACAUCCAUCCAGCUCUCUCAGUUUGAUAGAAGUAGAUCUGUAGAUGAAUUGGAGAAGAGCUCUUCCGGUGUACGGUAGUGGAGCAGCAACUCCGGCAAUUCCAGCAGAACCAAUUGUAACAACAACUCCAACAAUUCAACGAUGGAUGCUUGAAAGGCGACGAUUCAUCCCUCGACGGGCUGACCCCUCUGAAUUUCAACUUCCCGCUCGAUAGUCAGCCACCAUCAUUAUCGCUCAUUACUAUUAGGUCCUCCAUUCUUCAAUUUCACUAUGUUUAAUUUAGGUAACUUCUCCACGUUUUCAAUUCUUCAAUUUCAACUGUGUUUUUUGGGUUAUAUCGUGAGACUUGACUGAUUCAAAUUAUUUCUGGUGAUUUUUUAUUGAAUUAAUUUUUCAAUUUGUAGAUUUUUUCUUGGCUUCGCUUCAUUGGUAUACGAUUAAUUGUUCUAUGAUUUUUCUUCAUUGAAAAAAUUUAUUAUUUUGUUAUGUAUUUGAAAUUUAGGGUUUUUAAUUAUAAAUGCAAAACAAUUUAUAAAUGGAGACCCGAUUAAUGGUGCAACAAUGGCCAUUGGCUAAGGUUAGAAAUUCUUCCUACUCUGACCACUUGCUACUACUCUUACAAUUUCAAGUUUCAAGCAAUUGAAAAUUUAUAGAUAAUUAUGCAUUUACUGACAUUCUUAUAAUCAUUGACGCAUUUUAAGGAAUUUUUAAUUGAACUUAGAGUAGUAUAAUGUUAGAUUUCUCCAUUAUUGCACUUGGUGUAUCAUAAUGUUGAGUACUUGAAUUCAUCCAUUUGCGCAGCAGAGCUAAUCAACGCCCCUUGAGCAGGAAGAUUUUUAAGCUAUUAAUCUGUCCUAAUACACAUAAGCCACAAUAUUCAUGUUGUUAUUUUGGCCUUGAUGCUUUUAGUGGAGCAAUCGUGGGUAAAGGUUGCAAUAUUUGCUUCGUGCUUUCUGCUAUUUGUGUGGACGUAUACCUUUCUAGCUGCAUCCAAUGGUCUGAAAUUCUGAAAAUAUGUUGGAAUGUUUUCAUUUAUAUCUUUUUUUGUGGAAAGGUUUUCAUUUAUAUCUAUAUAAGGUAGAAUUUUAGGUUUGUAAGGAAGUGAGUGCUAAAACAUAUGGUAAAACAUAACUUGAAACUUGAAAUGGUAACAGUAGUAGCAAUUUCAACAUGCGUCUAAUUCUCCCCUUGCCAACAACGAAGAUUGAGAACCAAGCAUCAAGUAGUCCAUUAAUGCUUGUUGUAGUAUACUUGUUAGGUUGAGUUGCUUCUAUGGAGUGUGUGUUCAACUGUUGAUCUUAGUUAUAACUUCAUGAAUUAUUAUUAAAAGAAGUUGUAUAGUGAAGAAGCAUUGUCAUUUAGACAAAUGAAACUUGAAAAUAUAACUGAGUUGAUAAACCUAAAAUGCAUUUUUUUAGCUGAAGAAAAGACAUCUUUAGUAGUCUUUAUAAAUCUACAGAUCUUGUUAAGGUAGGGGUAUAAGAAAGAUUAUACUUCUAACAAAUUAGUAUUAUUGUUUAGAUCAUGCUUAAAGUAAAUCCAAGUAAGCUUAAGAAUUUUCUUUUCCAAAUUAAAUGGCCAUGUUAAUUAAGGAAUCUGGGUAUGCUUACUAAGCAAAAACAGAGAAAAAGAUUAUAUUAACAGACUAGGAAAGAGAGAGUCUCUCGUCUGCAUUACCAGUGUGUGUCUCAAGUUAGAUUUUGGAUACUAUGGCUACAAUUAUAUUGUUUAUAUUGUUGGAUGCCUUUAGUUUUUUGUGAGUUCUUAGUUCUUUGUGUUUGUGAAAGAAGAAAUCAUUAUGCUAUUGUUCUUACUCUGACGUUCAUGUUGCAUCACCUAGACUACCUUAUGCUACUAUUCUUGCUCUGACAGCUGCAACUUUGAGGUUUGUACAACUCUCUAGUCUCUAAUUAUUCUAUCUUAAUUAUGCAAAUAGGAGGCAUUGUUACACCUCUUGUUCAACAUAAAAUGAAAAAACUUUAUGAGAUUUUAUGAAUUCAUUGACUUGAGCACGUAAUGCUUCAUACCAUCUUUAUGUUAUGAAGCCUGUCAAAGUUUUGCCAUUCACUAAGAGCAUUAGGCUUCUUUUUCUAGUUUACUCAGUUUAUUUGUGUGAAUCUUAAAUGCUUUCUCACUGAUUCAGGUUUAGCAACACUAAUAGUGGCGUCGAAACAAUACCUAACAUGUUCUCUCGAAGUCUAUCAAGAUCAUUGCUCUCUUUGCCGUGAUAUUACUUCAAAUGUGAUCCUGGCAUGGAUGAUGUUUCCGUGGAUGAAAGCAAAGAACCACAGAAAAGCAGCAAGUUGCAUAAUAAUUGGUUGAACAAAAUUUUGUCAAUGUAGUUUCCGGAAAUUCCUUAAUUUACUUGUUUUACUAUACUUAUUGGUUGGAACUUUGAGCACUCUUGAACAAGGAUAUUAUUAUGUAAAUGAUUUUUUUAGUGAAUGACUAUAUGAUUCAAUA